UACGUAGGGGGCAAGCGUUGUCCGGAAUUAUUGGGCGUAAAGAGCUCGUAGGCGGUCUGUCACGUCGGAUGUGAAAAUCCAGGGCUUAACCCUGGACCUGCAUUCGAUACGGGCAGACUAGAGUUCGGUAGGGGAGACUGGAAUUCCUGGUGUAGCGGUGAAAUGCGCAGAUAUCAGGAGGAACACCGGUGGCGAAGGCGGGUCUCUGGGCCGAUACUGACGCUGAGGAGCGAAAGCGUGGGGAGCGAACAGG
rnacentral:rRNA from 1 species